rnacentral:lncRNA from 1 species
CUGAGGGUGCUGGGGCCAAGGACAUCGGAGAGUGCUAGGAGAAUUGUGCUGUCCUGAGUUGUCACUCCGUUUACCAACACCAGUGGAGAGCAGCAGUUGGAGCAGCUUCGCCCUCCGCCUUCCCCGCAGAGCUCAGCAAAAUUUAAAAUUCAGUCACUGUCACUGGCAAACCCCGCUAAGCAGAAACAAUCCCAUCAUUCUCUCCCGACUGGCAAAGGUGUUUAAGACAUCUAAAUAUUUUAAAGCGUUAUGCCACACUUCUAAGAGGCUCAUGGGGAAUCCAUGUGUGUGCCCAGGAUGGAAGUGAGGAUCGGAGGUGGAGAAGGCCCAGGAGAAAGCACUGGAAAGAUCACCUGAGGCUGCCUACGGGUGAAGCCAGCAUGGAGGGAAGCAGAGGAGAGAAAGGCAGAGAACAGCCAGCCAAGCCUCCAAGGAUGUCUCUUUAAUAUUUUGAUUCAGCCCUGCCUGCAGCUGGUCCAACUGCUUAGACUUCAGGGCUAUGUAAGAUAUAUAAGAUAUAUAUAAAAGAUAUAUAUAUUCUUUUCUUCUUUUCAUUUCUUUUGGACUGGUUAGUUUGAAUGGGCAUCUGUUACACGAAAUUAAAA